GCGGUUGAAGAUGGGCAUGCGUGCCAUUAGUUAGUUGGUGAGGUAACGGCUCACCAAGACAGCGAUGGCUACGGGGUCUAAAAGGAUGGUCCCGCACACUGGUACUGAGACACGGACCAG
rnacentral:rRNA from 1 species